GAGAAGAAUAGGCGUUGUGGGCACAAGAGAGGAAGGCAACCUACCUACCAGUCUAUGGUAGCGAGGAGGGACUCCGGCGUAGACGUUGAACCAACUCCCCUACGGGGCAGAAGAUGCCGUCGCCGCUAUGGAGUCUACGCCGCACCGGCUGCCACUGAAGCCGGAAAGAUGCCGGCGUCGGCCCCGUAGCCCGGCCAAUGAGAGAGGAGAAGACGCUGGAGAAUAGCAGUAUUGUAAUCAAUCGCCAAGCCCGGCAGUAUCUGUGAAAACCUUCGAGGGGACGCCGUGUUGGAUGAUACGGGGGAGAAGAUGACCAACCAGGCGCCGCCAUGGGCCGGGCAGAAGGUGGCGGAGAACCGGAGUUCGUCAUGGCCGAUAUGGUCGUCACCAAGCGUGGCAGUAUCUGCGGAAGGCUUCGAGCGGGCGCCGCAUCGGAUGACCAACCAGG
rnacentral:lncRNA from 1 species